AUACUUACCUGGCAUGGGCAAUACCAUGAUCAUGAAGGUGGUUCACCCAGGGCGAGACUCUGCCAUUGCACUUGGGUGGUGCUGACCCUUGCGAAUUCCCCAAAUGCGGGAAUCUCGACUGCAUAAUUUCUAGUAGUGGGGGACUGCGUUCGCGCUCUCCCCUG
rnacentral:snRNA from 1 species